CAAGUAAUGAAGCACUUAUCAAUGCAUUUCUUUCAAGAGGUUGCCCCAGAAUGUUCAUCCGAAUGAAACUUAAGAGCGAUUUUAAGUGCCCAUCCAACGUCCGGCUAAUAUUGAACCAUCUUACCCUAUAAAAUGGUACAAAGCUAAAGGAAGCUAUCACAAGGCCUUGAAAUUUGCUAAAGAUGGGUUCAGCACUUGAAGCCAGAAA